AGUUAUGGAACUGUAGUUAGUAUUAAAUAGAAACUGAUUUUUUAAGUAUGUAAUUUUGCUGUGAUACAACACAAUGGGUUUAUAUAUAAGCCUCAGAUGACCUCACUUGUUUAUGAAAAUGAUGUAGCAUCCCAUAAUAUCUUUCUAAUGAAAUACUUUCAGCUGAACUUAUCAGAUGCACUUUAAAAGCAUGUAUGUAUAGUCCAUAUAGUCAGUAAACUCAAAACUUAUUCCUAUGAUACAUAAAAUAAAACAUAUUUCAGAUUAUGGGGCUUAAACUUCUUACGGUGAAAUUUGAGUAUUGUAAAAAGUGCACACACUUCUGAUAGGAAAAUUUGUCUUUAUUUCUCCCUUUGACCUAACUUUCAAAAUAUGUAGCUAUACUUGAAGUGUAAAGGUUACGCUUAUUCCAGGGUUCUUACAUUCAGGAAAUUUAUAAAGUUUUAAAAGCACUAGAUAUUGGCAGGAUUAUGUCACCAUAGCAACCCGUAUCCAUGAAUAGACUCUAAAUAUCUAACCCAAAAGACAAUGAUUAGGUCACUGCUAUGAGAUGCAAAACAAAGCCAAAAUUAUUGAUACAGAAUUCCAGAAAGUAGGCGUUGGUUAUAGAUACAUAUUUUAUCCUUCUUAUUAAGAACUUGAAUUGCUUCAAUCAAUUAAAUCAAAUGAUUUGUUAAUCAUUUUAACAAACGCUUACUAAUAUUGUUUGGCUAUGUCCCCACCCAAACCUAAUCUUGAAUUGUAAUUUCCAUAAUCCACAUGUGUGGUGGCAAGGACCUGGUGGGAGGAAUUGAAUCAUAGGGAUGGUUUCCCCCAUGCUUUCUCAUGAUAGUGAGUAAGUUCUCAUGGGAUCUGAUGGUUUUCUAAGAACCUUUCCCCUUCGCUCAGCACUUAUUUCUUUCUCUUGCCUCUAGUUGAAGAAGGACAUGUUUGCUUCCCUUUCUGCCGAGAUUAUAAGUUUCCUGAGGCCUCCCCAGCCAAGUGGAACUAAGUUUUUACCAUCCUCCGAUGACAGAAAUAAUGUCUUAUUCAAGUUGAUCAAGCCUGUGUUCUCCCAGGACUUUGCAAAAUGCUUCCUGUAUGGUAAGUACUCAAUAAAUGUUUAUUAAAUGGAAUAUUAAAGGUAAUCAGAAUGAUACUACUGUUCUGAUAACCUCAAAUAGUCCCAUAUCCAACCUUUCCCUCUUGAGAAGCUUUCCAGGAAUUCUCCAGUCCACGUGAUGCUCUCUCUUUCCAUCACUCUGUCAGCAUUUUAUAACUCUGCUUCAUAAAUGCAAUCUAAUACUUCAUGAGUAUUACAUUUUCAGCUUAUCCAGGGCUCAGUCUCUGACACAUUUUUUCCCUUUGGCGUCCUUAUGACUGUCUGGCAUAGCGCUCUCCCUAUAGUCCAAGUCAAUAGAACUUAGAGGUUGAUUACUAAGCUGGACUCCAGCAGAUUUUUUACUGAGUCAAAAUGGCAAUCAAAUGUUCCUGUUGAACAAGUGAGAAAAUAUCUCUAAUAGGUGAGGGAAAAAAAUCAGAGAAAGUAAACUCCAGUGGAUUGUUGCUCAUUAUUUUGGCCAUUCACUUGUAAGCUUUUGGGGGAAAAUCAUUAACAAUUUCAACAGUGCGAGGUGUGUUAUUUUGUUUGUUUCAAGAAGAAGCAAAGCAGAACGAUUUUUUUUUUAAACAACGAUAAAAACCCCCAUAUGGAUUGAUAUGGAAAGUUCCCUGAUACUACAAGGUACUAGAAAAAUACAUCGGAAGCCUUCAGCUACAGCUAGCAACAAUUUAUAAGUGCCAUUUCUUUCAUCUAUUUGACAGAUUAUCUCAAGAGACAUAGUUCUUUAGUCAGCCAGUUUGGAAAGCUGUUAAAAGUAUGGCAGACAUCCUGCUUGCUUUAAAUUAAUUUUUAUACAUGCUGAAACCAGAUAUUGCUAUAUACUUUGCUACUUAGGAAAUAAUUUAUUUGUAAUGAGUGAUUUGUUGUCACCUUUGCCUUAAUCAUUUUGAAGAAGAUUAAUAUUAGAUUAUUCCGAAU
rnacentral:lncRNA from 1 species